rnacentral:rRNA from 1 species
UUGGGAAUAUUGGACAAUGGAGGAAACUCUGAUCCAGUGACGCCGCGUGAAGGAAGAAGGUCUUCGGAUUGUAAACUUAUUUUAUCAGGGAAGAAAAAAAUGACAGUACCUGAAGAAGAAGGACCGGCUAACUACGUGCCAGCAGCCGCGGUAAUACGUAGGGUCCGAGCGUUAUCCGGAUUUACUGGGUGUAAAGGGCGAGUAGACGGAACUGCAAGUCAGAUGUGAAAUGCUAGAGCUCAACUUUAGAACUGCAUCUGAAACUGUGGAACUAGAGUGCAGGAGAGGUAAGCGGAAUUCCUAGUGUAGCGGUGAAAUGCGUAGAUAUUAGGAGGAACACCAGUGGCGAAGGCGGCUUACUGGACUGUAACUGACGUUGAGGCGCGAAAGUGUGGGGAGCAAACA